GACAGAGGGUGCAAACGUUGUUCGGAAUUACUGGGCGUAAAGCGCGUGUAGGCUGCUUGGAAAGUCGGAUGUGAAAGCCCUGGGCUCAACCUAGGAAGUGCAUUCGAAACUUCCAAGCUGGAGUGCUGGAGAGGAAGGCGGAAUUCUCGGUGUAGAGGUGAAAUUCGUAGAUAUCAGGAGGAACACCGGCGGCGAAGGCGGCGACCUGGACGAGUACUGACACUCAGACGCGAAAGCGUGGGGAGCAAACAGG
rnacentral:rRNA from 1 species